UUUUAUGGAGAGUUUGAUCCUGGCUCAGGAUGAACGCUGGCGGCGUGCCUAAUACAUGCAAGUCGAGCGAACGGACGAGAAGCUUGCUUCUCUGAUGUUAGCGGCGGACGGGUGAGUAACACGUGGAUAACCUACCUAUAAGACUGGGAUAACUUCGGGAAACCGGAGCUAAUACCGGAUAAUAUUUUGAACCGCAUGGUUCAAAAGUGAAAGACGGUCUUGCUGUCACUUAUAGAUGGAUCCGCGCUGCAUUAGCUAGUUGGUAAGGUAACGGCUUACCAAGGCAACGAUGCAUAGCCGACCUGAGAGGGUGAUCGGCCACACUGGAACUGAGACACGGUCCAGACUCCUACGGGAGGCAGCAGUAGGGAAUCUUCCGCAAUGGGCGAAAGCCUGACGGAGCAACGCCGCGUGAGUGAUGAAGGUCUUCGGAUCGUAAAACUCUGUUAUUAGGGAAGAACAUAUGUGUAAGUAACUGUGCACAUCUUGACGGUACCUAAUCAGAAAGCCACGGCUAACUACGUGCCAGCAGCCGCGGUAAUACGUAGGUGGCAAGCGUUAUCCGGAAUUAUUGGGCGUAAAGCGCGCGUAGGCGGUUUUUUAAGUCUGAUGUGAAAGCCCACGGCUCAACCGUGGAGGGUCAUUGGAAACUGGAAAACUUGAGUGCAGAAGAGGAAAGUGGAAUUCCAUGUGUAGCGGUGAAAUGCGCAGAGAUAUGGAGGAACACCAGUGGCGAAGGCGACUUUCUGGUCUGUAACUGACGCUGAUGUGCGAAAGCGUGGGGAUCAAACAGGAUUAGAUACCCUGGUAGUCCACGCCGUAAACGAUGAGUGCUAAGUGUUAGGGGGUUUCCGCCCCUUAGUGCUGCAGCUAACGCAUUAAGCACUCCGCCUGGGGAGUACGACCGCAAGGUUGAAACUCAAAGGAAUUGACGGGGACCCGCACAAGCGGUGGAGCAUGUGGUUUAAUUCGAAGCAACGCGAAGAACCUUACCAAAUCUUGACAUCCUUUGACAACUCUAGAGAUAGAGCCUUCCCCUUCGGGGGACAAAGUGACAGGUGGUGCAUGGUUGUCGUCAGCUCGUGUCGUGAGAUGUUGGGUUAAGUCCCGCAACGAGCGCAACCCUUAAGCUUAGUUGCCAUCAUUAAGUUGGGCACUCUAAGUUGACUGCCGGUGACAAACCGGAGGAAGGUGGGGAUGACGUCAAAUCAUCAUGCCCCUUAUGAUUUGGGCUACACACGUGCUACAAUGGACAAUACAAAGGGCAGCGAAACCGCGAGGUCAAGCAAAUCCCAUAAAGUUGUUCUCAGUUCGGAUUGUAGUCUGCAACUCGACUACAUGAAGCUGGAAUCGCUAGUAAUCGUAGAUCAGCAUGCUACGGUGAAUACGU
rnacentral:rRNA from 2 species